rnacentral:rRNA from 1 species
AGCGAACGCUGGCGGCAGGCUUAACACAUGCAAGUCGAACGGGCAUCUUCGGAUGUCAGCGGCAGACGGGUGAGUAACACGUGGGAACGUACCCUUCGGUUCGGAACAACUCUGGGAAACUGGAGCUAAUACCGGAUACGCCUUUAUGGGGAAAGGUUUACUGCCGAAGGAUCGGCCCGCGUCUGAUUAGCUAGUUGGUGGGGUAACGGCCUACCAAGGCGACGAUCAGUAGCUGGUCUGAGAGGAUGAUCAGCCACACUGGGACUGAGACACGGCCCAGACUCCUACGGGAGGCAGCAGUGGGGAAUAUUGGACAAUGGGCGCAAGCCUGAUCCAGCCAUGCCGCGUGAGUGAUGAAGGCCUUAGGGUUGUAAAGCUCUUUUGUCCGGGACGAUAAUGACGGUACCGGAAGAAUAAGCCCCGGCUAACUUCGUG